AGUGAACGCUGGCGGCAGGCCUAACACAUGCAAGUCGAACGGCAGCACAGGAGAGCUUGCUCUCUGGGUGGCGAGUGGCGGACGGGUGAGGAAUAUAUCGGAAUCUACCCUUUCGUGGGGGAUAACGUAGGGAAACUUACGCUAAUACCGCAUACGAACUGAGGUUGAAAGCGGCGGACCGCAAGGCGUCGCGCGGAUGGAUGAGCCGAUAUCCGAUUAGCUAGUUGGCGGGGUAAAGGCCCACCAAGGCGACGAUCGGUAGCUGGUCUGAGAGGAUGAUCAGCCACACUGGAACUGAGACACGGUCCAGACUCCUACGGGAGGCAGCAGUGGGGAAUAUUGGACAAUGGGCGCAAGCCUGAUCCAGCCAUGCCGCGUGUGUGAAGAAGGCCUUCGGGUUGUAAAGCACUUUUGUUGGGAAAGAAAAGCGGUCGGUUAAUACCCGGUCGUUCUGACGGUA
rnacentral:rRNA from 1 species